CUCUUUCAUCCGGGCUCUACUGGUGAAAAUAACUGCAGACGGCUGGUAAAAAGUUGGAAUAGCUUUCGUUAAGCGUCGGAUGUGUAGAGUGCUGAGUUAGGGGCUGGACUAGAGACGUUGGGACAUCUCCCGGGAACAGCAGCCUGGAGGGGAAAAAUCUCCUGACCUAAGUGGUCAUUCGGCCUUGGCGCUUGGACACGGGAGUGCGGCGACAGCCAUAUGUCCAUCCAUCUUGGCACUUUUCCGUCCUCUGCCUUUGAAGAUGGGUGUGCCCGGCAGGCUGUGAAAGAUAAACAUUAGAGGGUUGUUUAGAAGACUUUUUUGACCUGAGCCCAUGAGGUGCAUACCCUUUGUUUGGCGGAGAAACCAGUGGCUUCUGAAGAUCAGGGACGGGCCACAAGUGCGAGGCAUUGCAGACAUUUCGAACCCAGACUUCCAGCCUGGAGACAUCCACACGCUUCCAGUUUCUUGCACUGGUACUUCAUUCUGUCAUUAUGAUUGCCACCACUCGUAACUGAGAGUUGCGUGCCCUCAAGUUUUGAGUGUCUGCAGGGUACCUUUGAGCUUUCUUAGCUGUGUAGUGAGUGGGGGGAAUGGAGAAAAUGAAGGACAGAUGACUGAUUUGUAGUUUUUCAUUUGGACACUGUCCUUGCCGCACAAGCACAGCAGCUUGAACCUCUUUGAACAAGAGUCGAGAGUUCUUUUACAGCUAAUUACCCACUAGUUAAACUUGAUCAUACUGUGCUGUUUUCUUCCUCUCCAUUGUCAAUGUAAUACGGCUCCUGACAAAAGUUAAAUUCGCUGGGCGUGGUGGCUCACCCCUGUACUCCCAGCACUUUGGGGGCUGAGGCGGGUGGAUCACCUGAAGUCAGGAAUUCAAGACCAGCCUGGCCAACAUGGUGAAACCCCGUCUCUACUAAAAAUACAAAAGUUAGCUGCGUGUGGUGGCGGGCGCCUGUAAUCCCAGCUACUCAGGAGGCUGAGGCAGGAGAAUCGUUUGAACCCGGGGGGGCGGAGGUUGCAGUGAGCUGAGAUCGCGCCACUGCACUUCAGCCUGGGUGACAGAGUGAAACUCCGUCUCAAAAAAAAAAAAAAAAGCCGGGCGCUGUGGCUCACACCUAUAAUCCCAGCACUUUGGGAAGCCGAGGGGGGAGGAUCUCGAGGUCAGGAGUUGGAGACCAGCCUGACCAACAUGGAGAAACCUCGUCUCUACUAAAAAUACAAAAUUAGCCAGGCGUGGUGGUGGGCACCUGUAAUCCCAGCUACUGGGGAGGCCGAGGCAGGAGAAUCCUUUGAUCCCGGGAAGCAGAGGUUGCAGUGAGCCGAGAUCACACCAGAGAUGCACGCCAGCCUGGGCAACAGAGCAAGAUUCCUUCUCGAAAAACAAACAAACAAACAAAAAAACAGUUCAAAAGACACAGAAUGGACUGGUGGCGAUGGCCCACGCCUGUAAUCCCAGCACUUUGGGAAGCCAAAGCGGAAGGAUCGCUUGAAGUCAGGAGAACAGCCUGGGCAGCAUAGUGAGACCUCGUUUCUACUUAAAACAAAAACAAACAAACAAACAAAAAAACAACAGGUGUGGUGACUUAGACCUGUGGUCCCAGCUACUCAGGAGGCUGAGAUGGGAGGAUCACUUGGGCCCCAGCCGUUGAGGACUGCAGUGACCUAUGAUCGCACCACUGCUCUCCAUCCUGGGUGACAGAGUGAGACCCUGUCUCAAAAAAAAAAAAAAGCACAGGAUGUAAAAUCAGGCAUUAGGUUUGCUAUUCCUACAUGUAAACUUAUGGAACAUUUUCUUGUUUCCUUUCAUUUUGUUUUACAAAAAGGAUGAUCCCAUUGUUAACUUUUUCUCUUUACCACUUAGUGGAUGCCUUCCACUGUCUCACCACAAUCUUAUCCUUUUAAGCAGUUGCCUAUCAGGUGUCUCCACUGCUCACAUUUGGGACAAAAAUAAUGCAAUGUGCAGUCGCUCACGCCUGUAAUCCCACCACUUUGGGAGGCCAAAGUGAGCAGAUCACCUGAGGUCAGUAGUUUGAGACCAGCCUGGCCAACAUGGUAAAACCCCAUCUCUACUAAAAAUAC
rnacentral:lncRNA from 1 species